rnacentral:rRNA from 1 species
CAGCCGCCGCGGUAAUACGUAGGUGGCAAGCGUUGUCCGGAAUUAUUGGGCGUAAAGGGCUCGCAGGCGGUUUCUUAAGUCUGAUGUGAAAGCCCCCGGCUCAACCGGGGAGGGUCAUUGGAAACUGGGAAACUUGAGUGCAGAAGAGGAGAGUGGAAUUCCACGUGUAGCGGUGAAAUGCGUAGAGAUGUGGAGGAACACCAGUGGCGAAGGCGACUCUCUGGUUUGUAACUGACGCUGAGGAUCGAAAGCGUGGGGAGCGAACAGGAUUAGAUACCCGUGUAGUCCCUGUCUCUUAUAC